CCAGCGAGAACAUAAGUAUUGGGGGUAAUGCCUGCCCAGUGACACUGUUAAACGGCCGCGGUAUCCUAACCGUGCAAAGGUAGCGUAAUCACUUGUCUUUUAAAUAAAGACUAGAAUGAAUGGCCAAACGAGGCUCUACCUGUCUCUUACAAAUAAUCAGUGAAAUUGAUCUUCCCGUGCAAAAGCGGGGAUAACACUAUAAGACGAGAAGACCCUGUGGAACUUCAAAUAUAAAAUCAACUAUCACCAACACCCACCCACGGGCCUUAUACCAAAUAGCACCUGAUUUUUAUUUUCGGUUGGGGCGACCUCGGAACAAAACAAAACCUCCGAAAAAUAAAAAACCCUUUAAACCUAGAACAACAGUUCAAAG
rnacentral:rRNA from 1 species